GGCUUUGUGGGAAAGUCGGGGAGAGUGAGGAGAGACCCAGGAGGUCAUGGUAGAGAGGAGAGCAGGUGGAGCAGUCCUGAGGGAAGGCCACCCAGGGCUGGGGCAGACGAUCCACCUUCGUACAACCACUGGAAAAGUAGUGAGUCUUCACGGAGAAACCUAGCAGCCACUGCCUUAACCACGUGACCACAGCUAAUGUCACCAGCGGCGGGACAAGCUGGCCUCCACAGCCUCCUCCCAGGAAUGUGGGGCUGAUGGGGUUCAGUGGCAGAGAUGAGCCACAUGGAUGGACAGUCUGCAGACCCACAGGCUGCAAACUGAGUCCCCCCACCUUCUGCAUGGCCAGGAAAUAACGAUUGGAGUGUUCACAAGAAGGCAUCUUGGCUGCAAUUUACUCUCACAGGAUUGAGAAAAAGAUGCACACAUGCAGAGCAACAAAACAAAUGGGAGAGCAGAGCAGCUGCAGAGAGGGCCUGUGCUGGCCUGGGGACUUUUCUGUAAGUCUGAAAGUUUGGCAAAAAAAAAAAAAAAAAUCCAUUCAAGUUGUCAAGUGUUUUAAAAAUUGUCCAAAAUAGCCACCAGUUUGUUCUCUGUAUUUGAGCACUUCUGGUUUGUUAUGUUUGUAUGUAAAUACUGAAUCACUAAGUCAUGCACCUGAAACCAGCAUAAUAUUAUGUCAACUAUAUUUCAAUAAAAAAUAAAUAAAAGU